rnacentral:lncRNA from 1 species
GAAACGCGGCUCUGGUGCCAAAUGAUACGAUCCUUGCCGAUCGAUCGAACACAACGCACGCGGAAGACUGAACUUGAACGGAAAGGAUGGAAAUCCCAAAACCUCUGAAUCUAACCCACGGAAUGAUAUAGGCGACUGAAUGCCCUAUACCCCAACGUGAAGUUGACGCAGCAACUCGGGGACGCUGAAUGACACCCGACGAGGGUUGGUUGACUCGCCGUUACGUCGAUAAUUGAAUUC